GACGAACGCUGGCGGCGUGCUUAACACAUGCAAGUCGAACGGUAAGGCCCUUCGGGGUACACGAGUGGCGAACGGGUGAGUAACACGUGGGUGAUCUGCCCUGCACUUCGGGAUAAGUCUGGGAAACUGGGUCUAAUACCGGAUAGGACUCCUGCCUGCAUGGGUGGGGGUGGAAAGCUUUUGCGGUGUGGGAUGGGCCCGCGGCCUAUCAGCUUGUUGGUGGGGUGAUGGCCUACCAAGGCGACGACGGGUAGCCGGCCUGAGAGGGUGACCGGGCACACUGGGAGUGAGAUACGGCACAGACUCCUACGGGAGGCAGCAGUGGGGAAUAUUGCACAAUGGGCGCAAGCCUUAUGCAGCGACGCCGCGUGAGGGAUGACGGCCUUCGGGUUGUAAACCUCUUUCAGCACCGACGAAGCGCAAGUGACGGUAGGUGCAGAAGAAGGACCGGCCAACUACGUGCCAGCCGCCGCAGUAA
rnacentral:rRNA from 1 species